CCUACGGGUGGCAGCAGUGGGGAAUAUUGGACAAUGGGCGCAAGCCUGACCCAGCGACGCCGCGUGAGUGAAGAAGUCUCUCGGUAUGUAAAGCUCUAUUAGCAGGGAAGAAAAUGACGGUACUUGACUACGAAUCCCCGGCUAAAUACGUGCCAGCAGCCGCGGUAAUAGGUAGGGGGCAAGCGUCAUCCGGAUUUACUGGGUGUAAAGGGAGCGUAGGCGGUGCAGCAAGGCUGAAGUGAAAGGUCUGGGCGCAACCCCGGGACUGCAUUGGAAACUGUAGAACUGGAGUACAGGAGAGGUAGGCGGAAUUCCGAGUGUAGCGGUGAAAUGCGUAGAUAUUAGGAGGAACACCAGUGGCGAAGGCGGCUUGCUGGACAGUAACUGACGUUGAGGCGCGAAAGCGUGGGGAGCAAACAGGAUUAGAUACCCGAGUAGUC
rnacentral:rRNA from 1 species